UGCAGUGUACUAUGUAUAGAUGAUGAGAUGAAUGAUCACACCUGCUGUGGGCUGAGUCACAUCACUGUACCCACAGAUAUAGAUAUCACUAUAAGUACAAUCAUUUAAGAAAUGAUUAUGUUGAUAUUUUGCUAUGAAUAAUCUGAUGAUCAUGGAUUCAUGAUGCUUGCUUAUAGAUUAUCACAGCAUCAAAGAGUCAGACAGAAGAAAUUAAGAUGUGAAAGCAGUAUUGACAAAAUCUUUCACAGAAGAUGAUACAAGCAUGAAUAGAGUGGAUUCAUACUCAUAUUCAAAAGAUUAUAGAGCUAGA
rnacentral:sRNA from 2 species